GCGGAAGUGAGGGCUACCCGUGGAACCCAGGGGAGAAUAAACCCAGGAUUUUAUUUCGUUUCAUUUCAUGACCUUGAUUUGUUACUGGGGGCAGCAGCGCGUAACUAUUAUUAUUAUUAUUAUUAUUAUUAUUAUUAUUAUUAUUAUUAUUUUAUUUAUACCCCGCCCAUCUGGCUGAGUUUCCCCAGCCACUCUGAGCGGCUCCCAAUCAAGUGUUAAAAACAAUACAGCGUUAAAUAUUAAAAACUUCCCUAAGCAGGGCUGCCUUCAGAUGUCUUCUAAAAGUCAGAUAGUUGCUUAUCUCCUUGACAUCUGCUGGGAGGGCGUUCCACAGGGCAGGCGCCACCACCAAGAAGGCCCUCUGUCUCAUCCCCUAUAACCUCACUUCUCGCAAUGAGGGAACCGCCAGAAGGCCCUCGGUGCUGGAUCUCAGUGUCCGGGCUGAACGAUGGGGGUGGAGACGCUCCUUCAGGUAUACUGGGCCUUUGAGGCCGUUUAGGGCUUUAAAGGUCAGCACCAACACUUUGAAUUGUGCUCGGAAACGUACUGGGAUAAUAAUAAUAAAUUUUAUUUAUACCCCAGCACUCACAGGCCAGUGUUUCCCAGUUGUCAGUGUUUAUACUACAUUUUUUUUUAGAUUUGCUUUGAGACAGUCUUUAAACCUCUUUUGUUGACCACUAGCAUUACGCUUUCCAUUUUUAAGUUCGGAAUAGAGUAGUUGCUUUGGAAGACGAUCAUCAGAAAUUAAUAAGGUGUUGGCCCACAAGGCAAUGUGAGAAUGAGGGUUUGUGCUGAGUCUGGGCCUGGAGUGGACCUGAGGCAGCAGUUUAAGCCCUCAGUUUACACAGGUGUUGCAUUCUGGGGGCUGCGCUUAAAGCCACAAUUGCAUAUAGUCAAAACACAUUGCUUCCCCCCCGGACACCUGCCCCCUUUUUAAUUUUUAUAUAUUUUUUGCCAAGUGCCUUAAACUGAAUGCGCAAGUUAAAUGUGUAUCAGUUGCGGGCUUACUGUACUUUGACUUCUGUCGCAAACUGAAAGGUGUUAAGUAUAAGGGAUUUUUAGUGGUAAAUCAAACCUUAUUACUGCAUCAGAUAUGCAAUCUUAUUCGCUGGCCAUAUUGGAGGACUGUCCUAAGUCACUCUCUUCUCCACUGGGCUGCAUUGGCUCGCAGGCAAAUUUGAAAGCUCCAUAUUAAAAAUUAAGCAAAACCACUUUUUGACACGAAUUUAAGACCCACUGGGUUGGAAAGUGUGGGAACCUUUGCCACUCACUUUUCUUGCUGGGUUGUAAGUUACUACACAAUCACAGCUCCAGUAAAAUCCUGGCUUUUUCCAGCUGAUUUCAGUAGGCAGCCCUUGCUGUCCCUUCAUCCCAUAAGAAAGUUUGUGACUGAAACUGGCAGUUCAAUAAAUGCACUUGUGUCCCCCUUGAUCUACAAUCUAGGCAGCUGAGCAGCUUGCUGUUGUCCCCAUAGAUCAUGGGUAGGCAAACUAAGGCCCAGGUGCCGGAUCCGGCCCAAUCGCCUUCUAAAUCCAGCCCGUGGACGGUCCCAGAAUCGACGUGUUUUUACAUGAGUAGAAUGUGUGUUCUUAUUUAAAAUGCAUCUCUGGGUUAUUUGUGGGACAUAGGAAUUCAUUCCCCCCCCCCAAAUAUAGUCCAGCCCCCAAGGUCUGAGGGACAGUGGACCAGGCCCCUGCUGAAAAGGUUUGCUGACCCCUGCCAUAGAUGGAGGGAACCCAGAAUAGGGGAUUUUGUUUGGAAAAUGGCCACCAGUCCUGACUUUCGUUUCCUCAAAAGCAGGACCGGCCCAGGACAUUUUGGCAACGGAGGUGAACCACAAAAUAGUGCCACCCUCCCUGCCAGGGAAGAAGGGUGAGAGAAGAGCUACAUGGAACAAGGGGGAAAUAGAAUAUCUACAUCAGGAUCUGCUGCCCCUGUGGAUCCUGCC
rnacentral:lncRNA from 1 species